GGACUGUUGCUGUCUCCAUGGCAAUGGCGACCUGGCCAGACCUGAGGUCCACUCGGGUCCUAGUCCUGCACUCUGGGGUUAGGGGAACCCAGAGCCAGGUGUAUGGGGACAUCAGUCCCCCAAUUUGAGGACAGGGCUGGAGCAGAAGGGGCUGGAGAGUUCUGAGAGCCGAGGAAGCAGGAAGGAGCUGUGAGAGACUGAGCUCUAACCUUGGCCAUCAAAGACAAGCUGUGCAGCUCUGGUUUUUUGAGGGCAGGACAUGGAGGGUCAGGCCCAGCUGGAGGCGCACCAAAGCCCAGAGAAAAUUCAGAACCACGUGAGCUUGUUGGAUUUCAGCCCCUUGAAGCACAUGUUGCUAUUGCAGCUGCCUUGAUAACUGGGGGGACAGGAGGAGCACGGCUUUCCCAUCUUGUACGGGGACUCGCCAAUCCAGUUGCCCCUGGAAGAGAAAAGGACCCAGGGAGACAGAGGAGCAUUAGGCUACUAAUGACUUCAAGAACAUCAGAAUAAUACAAUAGAAAGAAUUUGGAAUUUGGAAUCAAAAGACUGAUUCUUCUGAACCAGCUCUACUACUUGUUGGCUUUGUGACAUUUGGUAAAUUACUCAACCUGCCUGAGCCUCAAUUUCUUAAUUUGUAAAAAGAAUGUCCUCCUAGGGUUCCCCCCUUUUUCCUUCUUUCUUUCAUCUCUUCAAUGAGAUAGUGUGAAAGUAGUUUGUAAAUGAUUAAAGGCUACGUGACAGUAAAAUGAGGUUAUUAUAUAAUUUUGGAAUUCUAGGGCAGGCACGGUGGGUGGCUCACACCUAUAAUCCCAGCACUUUGGGAGUCCAAGUAGGGAGAUUGCUUGAGGCCAGGAGUUCAAGACCAGCCUAGGCAACAUAAUGAGCCCCCCAUCUCUACAAAAAUGUUAAAAAUUAGCCAGGUGUAAUGGUGCAUGCCUGUACUUCCAGCUACUCAGGAGGGUGAGGCGGGAGGAUUGCUUGAACCCUGGAGUUUGAGGCUGCAGUGAGCUAUGAUCUGGCUAUUGCACUCCAGCCUGGGCAACAGAGCAAGACCUCGUCCCCCCCCAAAAAAAAAGAAAAAAGAAAAAAAGAAAUUCUAAAUAUCAUGUUUACUUAGAAUUUGUUCUUGUUUUGUUUUUGUUGUUGUUGUUGUUUGAGACGGAGUCUUGCUCUGUUGCCCAGGCUGGAAUGCAGUGGUGUGAUCUCAGCUCGCUGCAACCUCCACUUCUGAGGCUCAAGCGAUUCUCCUGCCUCAGCCUCCCAAGUAGCUGGGAUUACAGGCACGUGCCACCAUGCCCAGCUAAUUUUGGUAUUUUUGGUAGACACGAGGUUUUGCCAUGUUGGCCAGGCUGGUCUCAAACUCCUAACCUCAGGUGAUUCACCCACCUCAGCUCCCCAAAGUGCUGGGAUUGCAGGUGUAAGACACUGCGCCUGGCCUGUUCUUGUUUUUCUAUGAGAAUCUGGAACGUCUGCAAGUUUCAUUACGCUUGCUCCCUGUUUCCAAGAGGCUUGUAUGCAGGCAUCUCCUAAACUCUCCCACCCAGCAAACUGGAGAAGCUAAGCACACUCAUUCCUCCUUCCUUUUCUUUGGGAUCUGCCUGCCUGCAGGGAGCAUGUGUUCUUGGCUGUAUUUUUCUUGUCGUGAGCUUAGAGGGCUGGCACUGUACUUGUAAGAAGGGGCCUUUGGCUAUCCAGUGUUACCUGCCACUGGAUGUGUAGGUCUAAUUCAGUAGUGAGAUAUUUGUAAGCCUAGUUGGCUGGUGUAUCGGCAGAUCUAAGCCACAUUCUCCACUACUGACUUCAGCAACACUGUCUUUCCACCUGUGUCAAUCCUGUCUAUUUCCCAGUGAUUCUCAAACUUGGGUAAAGGAAAAGGAUUAUUGGGCUGGGUAGGGUGGCUCACGCCUGUAAUCCCAGCACUUUGGGAGACCUUGGAAGGAGGACUGCUUGAGCCUAGGAGUUCAAGACCAGCCUGGGCAACAUAGUGAGACCCCGUCUCUACAAAAAAUUAGCGAGGCAUGGUGGCAUUCACCUGUAGUCCCAGCUACUUGAGAGGCUGAAGUGAGGAGGGUUACUUGAGCCCAGCCAGUCGAGGCUGUAGUGAGCUGUGAUUGUGCCACUGUACUCCAGCCUGGGCAACAGAGGGAGACCUUGUCUCAAAAAAAGAAGAGAAAAUAGGCCAGGCGCAGUGGCUCACUCCUGUAAUCCCAGCACUUUGGGAGGCCGAUGCGGGCAGAUCACCUGAGGUUAGGGGUUUGAGACCAGUCUGGCCAAUAUGGCGAAACCUUGUCUCUAGUAAAAAUACAACAAUUAGCUGGGCGUGGUGGCAGACGCCUGUAAUCCCAGCUACUCGGGAGGCUGAGGCAGGAAAAUUGCUUGAACCUGGGAAGUGGAGGCUGCAGCGAGCUGAGAUCAUGCCACUGCAUUCCAGCCUGGCUGAGAGAGCAAGGCCUCUUCUCAAAAAAAAAAAAAAAAAAAAAGAAGAAAGA